rnacentral:rRNA from 1 species
AGAGUUUGAUCAUGGCUCAGGAUGAACGCUGGCGGCGUGCUUAACACAUGCAAGUCGAACGAGCCUUCGGGCUAGUGGCGGACGGGUGAGUAACGCGUGGGAAUCUGCCCUCAGGAGGGGGAUAACGGCCGGAAACGGCCGCUAAUACCCCAUAUGCCGAGAGGUGAAACGAAUUUCGCCUGAGGAUGAGCCCGCGUCUGAUUAGCUAGUUGGUGAGGUAAUGGCUCACCAAGGCAUCGAUCAGUAGCUGGUCUGAGAGGAUGAUCAGCCACACUGGGACUGAGACACGGCCCAGACUCCUACGGGAGGCAGCAGUGGGGAAUUUUCCGCAAUGGGCGCAAGCCUGACGGAGCAACGCCGCGUGAGGGACGAAGGCCUCUGGGCUGUAAACCUCUUUUCUCAAGGAAGAAGACAUGACGGUACUUGAGGAAUAAGCCACGGCUAAUUCCGUGCCAGCAGCCGCGGUAAUACGGGAGUGGCAAGCGUUAUCCGGAAUUAUUGGGCGUAAAGCGUCCGCAGGCGGCCUUGAAAGUCUGUUGUUAAAGCGUGGAGCUCAACUCCAUUUCAGCAAUGGAAACUACAAGGCUAGAGUGUGGUAGGGGCAGAGGGAAUUCCCGGUGUAGCGGUGAAAUGCGUAGAUAUCGGGAAGAACACCAGUGGCGAAGGCGCUCUGCUGGGCCAUAACUGACGCUCAUGGACGAAAGCCAGGGGAGCGAAAGGGAUUAGAUACCCCUGUAGUCCUGGCCGUAAACGAUGAACACUAGGUGUCGGGAGAAUUAACCCUUUCGGUGUCGUAGCCAACGCGUUAAGUGUUCCGCCUGGGGAGUACGCACGCAAGUGUGAAACUCAAAGGAAUUGACGG